UACGGAGGGUGCAAGCGUUAAUCGGAAUUACUGGGCGUAAAGCGCACGUAGGUGGCGACGUAAGUCGGGUGUGAAAGCCCCGGGCUCAACCUGGGAAUUGCAUUCGAGACUGCAUUGCUGGAGUACGGAAGAGGAAGGCGGAAUUCCCGGUGUAGCGGUGAAAUGCGUAGAUAUCGGGAGGAACAUCAGUGGCGAAGGCGGCCUUCUGGUCCAGUACUGACACUCAAGUGCGAAAGCGUGGGGAGCAAACAGG
rnacentral:rRNA from 1 species